rnacentral:pre_miRNA from 1 species
AAAUCGCCCCCUAAGUUUUGCAACUGUAGCAGUUUUGACCCCAGGGACAAUUUUUGGUAAAAAUAAAAUUAAAAAGUAACACGUGGCACCUCACUUAGGGUGCCACGUCAGUGUAGACCGAGUCAAAGUUGGCCUUGGGUGCUAAAACUGCUACAGAUGCAAAACUUAGGGGGCGAUUU